rnacentral:rRNA from 1 species
UGUUAGUGGAAGCGUCUGGAAAGGCGCGUGAUACAGGGUGACAGCCCCGUACACAAAAAUGCACAUGCUGUGAGCUCGAUGAGUAGGGCGGGACACGUGGUAUCCUGUCUGAAUAUGGGGGGACCAUCCUCCAAGGCUAAAUACUCCUGACUGACCGAUAGUGAACCAGUACCGUGAGGGAAAGGCGAAAAGAACCCCGGCGAGGGGAGUGAAAAAGAACCUGAAACCGUGUACGUACAAGCAGUGGGAGCACGCUUAGGCGUGUGACUGCGUACCUUUUGUAUAAUGGGUCAGCGACUUAUAUUCUGUAGCAAGGUUAACCGAAUAGGGGAGCCGAAGGGAAACCGAGUCUUAACUGGGCGUUAAGUUGCAGGGUAUAGACCCGAAACCCGGUGAUCUAGCCAUGGGCAGGUUGAAGGUUGGGUAACACUAACUGGAGGACCGAACCGACUAAUGUUGAAAAAUUAGCGGAUGACUUGUGGCUGGGGGUGAAAGGCCAAUCAAACCGGGAGAUAGCUGGUUCUCCCCGAAAGCUAUUUAGGUAGCGCCUCGUGAAUUCAUCUCCGGGGGUAGAGCACUGUUUCGGCAAGGGGGUCAUCCCGACUUACCAACCCGAUGCAAACUGCGAAUACCGGAGAAUGUUAUCACGGGAGACACACGGCGGGUGCUAACGUCCGUCGUGAAGAGGGAAACAACCCAGACCGCCAGCUAAGGUCCCAAAGUCAUGGUUAAGUGGGAAACGAUGUGGGAAGGCCCAGACAGCCAGGAUGUUGGCUUAGAAGCAGCCAUCAUUUAAAGAAAGCGUAAUAGCUCACUGGUCGAGUCGGCCUGCGCGGAAGAUGUAACGGGGCUAAACCAUGCACCGAAGCUGCGGCAGCGACGCUUAUGCGUUGUUGGGUAGGGGAGCGUUCUGUAAGCCUGUGAAGGUGUACUGUGAGGUAUGCUGGAGGUAUCAGAAGUGCGAAUGCUGACAUAAGUAACGAUAAAGCGGGUGAAAAGCCCGCUCGCCGGAAGACCAAGGGUUCCUGUCCAACGUUAAUCGGGGCAGGGUGAGUCGACCCCUAAGGCGAGGCCGAAAGGCGUAGUCGAUGGGAAACAGGUUAAUAUUCCUGUACUUGGUGUUACUGCGAAGGGGGGACGGAGAAGGCUAUGUUGGCCGGGCGACGGUUGUCCCGGUUUAAGCGUGUAGGCUGGUUUUCCAGGCAAAUCCGGAAAAUCAAGGCUGAGGCGUGAUGACGAGGCACUACGGUGCUGAAGCAACAAAUGCCCUGCUUCCAGGAAAAGCCUCUAAGCAUCAGGUAACAUCAAAUCGUACCCCAAACCGACACAGGUGGUCAGGUAGAGAAUACCAAGGCGCUUGAGAGAACUCGGGUGAAGGAACUAGGCAAAAUGGUGCCGUAACUUCGGGAGAAGGCACGCUGAUAUGUAGGUGAAGUCCCUCGCGGAUGGAGCUGAAAUCAGUCGAAGAUACCAGCUGGCUGCAACUGUUUAUUAAAAACACAGCACUGUGCAAACACGAAAGUGGACGUAUACGGUGUGACGCCUGCCCGGUGC